CAGCUGGGACCUAGGCAGCUGUUAACCCUGUCCCUCUUCCCAAACACUACACCCGGGUCCCUCACCUCGAAACCCGCCAAAGGAGGUACCACAGACUUAGAGGAAUUGUGAAGUGCUUCAAGAUUCUUGGAUGGAAGCAACAACAACCACCAUGACCCUUUAAUGGGGUUUGAAUCCAGGACCUCCAGCACAGACCUGAAGCUAGAGGACUAAACCCAUUAGCUAGCAGCAGUAAUAUCACCACCUAAUGCUAAUCUAUCAUUUUAGAUCCCCUAGCACUUUACAAAGUCAGUAUCAUUGUCCCCAUUUUAUAGCAGGGUUAACUAAAGGCUAGGGAAGUGAAAGGACUUGCAGAAGGUCACUCAGGCUAGCUAGGAAUGGAACCCAGGCCUCUAGAGUCCCAACCUAGUGCGCUCUACUUUAUUGCUUCUUUGGAGGAGGCACCCUGCCACUCUGGAUAAGCAGCAGAUGAGGACACAAACAGAUUUUGAGCAUGUUGCACAAUGUUGUCAGAGAAAUAAAAGAGCUGUUUGGGUA